AGCGAACGCUGGCGGAAUGCUUUACACAUGCAAGUCGAGCGGCAGCACGGGGGCAACCCUGGUGGCGAGCGGCGAACGGGUGAGUAACACAUCGGAACGUACCCUGUCGUGGGGGAUAACGAGUCGAAAGAUUCGCUAAUACCGCAUACGACCCGAGGGUGAAAGCGGGGGAUCGCAAGACCUCGCGCGACUGGAGCGGCCGAUGGCGGAUUAGCUAGUUGGUGGGGUAAAGGCCACCAAGGCGACGAUCCGUAGCGGGUCUGAGAGGACGGCCCGCCACACUGGGACUGAGACACGGCCCAGACUCCUACGGGAGGCAGCAGUGGGGAAUUUUGGACAAUGGGGGCAACCCUGAUCCAGCCAUGCCGCGUGAGUGAAGAAGGCCUCGGGUUGUAAGCUCUUUGUCGGAGAAGUAGCUGCUACAG
rnacentral:rRNA from 1 species